rnacentral:tRNA from 1 species
AGGGCCGGAAUAGCUCAGUCGGUAGAGCAGAG